rnacentral:miRNA from 1 species
AUUCCCUACAAGCACUUCACA